AGUCAGUCUUCAAAAUUUCCUUUGCAUUGCAUUGCAUUGAUCCAAAAAACUAGGAGCAGGAGAAUGCGCGCUCCUUAUUUUUCAAAUCAGCAUUGCCAUGACUUGUGCCUAUCAUUUCGAUGAAAAUACUGCAUCAUUGAUGCAAAUCAUUUAUCAAAUCCUCACACUAGCAGAAUGAAGAAAAGCGUUACGAGAGCUGGCAAACAUAUAUGGUGGUAGCUAGGAUCCUAUGGUGGUUGGCCUAGUAACCAGCAACGUUGUGUUGGUGGCAGCUGAAAAUCUUUAUUGACACCGAAGCUUUCUCACUUGCGGUUGAAGUUGAAGUUAAGUUAGCAUUUGAAUAAAUCGGCUUUGAAUUGAACUUUGGAUCGAUGGAUCGAAGAUUGGCAUUGGACAUACAAACAACCACCCCACUUGUUGACAGUUCGUGAACCGCUUCUGGCAGAUCCCUUCCCGCAUCAUGUAUUAACGAGUUCGGGCGUUUGACCCAAGUCCCAACCUGUUUUUUGAGGCCGCCAAUAGUUAUUAUCAUUAGAAUACAGAUUUUUUUUUGUGCUCCAUUAACAGCAGCAAUAAAUUAUUUAUCUGUGUGAAUCAUA